AAUAUAAUAGGGCUAAAGUCGUAACUUGGCUUAAAAAUUUUGGCUGGUGACUAGACCCAAGAAAUUAAGAGAGUUAAACGUGCUAAGACGGGAGUAGUCCUAAUAUGGGUGACCCUCUGAGAAGUUGGGGCGUCACAGUUCGUAUCAGAAUCAAUUACCAGUCGGAAAUAUGAGAUGAUUUUCGGCUGAGUUAGGGUCGGAAUGACAAGGCUAGCAAGAGUAGUCUCACAUUGCCUAAUCGUUGUGAGUCUGAUCCUGACGAGGGUGUCAGGGUUUAAACGGGCCGGGGAGAUUAUGAAACUCUAGAUAGUUCUAUAUAUAAAAUAUAAUAGGGCUAAACUAUUAACCUGGCUUAAACAUUUUGGGUGGUGGUUAGGCCUAAGAAGUUAAUUAAGAGAGUUAAACGUGCUAGAACGGAAGUAAUCCUAUGAUGG
rnacentral:lncRNA from 1 species